UACGAAGGGGGCUAGCGUUGCUCGGAAUCACUGGGCGUAAAGGGUGCGUAGGCGGGUCUUUUAAGUCAGGGGUGAAAUCCUGGAGCUCAACUCCAGAACUGCCUUUGAUACUGAAGAUCUUGAGUUCGGGAGAGGUGAGUGGAACUGCGAGUGUAGAGGUGAAAUUCGUAGAUAUCGCAAGAACACCAGUGGCGAAGGCGGCUCACUGGCCCGAUACUGACGCUGAGGCACGAAAGCGUGGGGAUCAAACAGG
rnacentral:rRNA from 1 species